CCUACGGGGUGCAGCAGUGAGGAAUAUUGGUCAAUGGCCGGGAGUCUGAACCAGCCAUGUCGCGUGCAGGCAGACGGCCCUAUGAGUUGUAAACUGCUUUUGUACAAGGGUAAACAUGAAUACGUGUCUUCAGCUGAAAGUACUGUACGAAUAAGGAUCGGCUAACUCCGUGCCAGCAGCCGCGGUAAUACGGAGGAUCCAAGCGUUAUCCGGAUUUAUUGGGUUUAAAGGGUGCGUAGGCGGAUUGAUAAGUUAGAGGUGAAAUGUCCGAGCUUAACUCGGGAACUGCCUCUAAUACUGUUGAUCUAGAGAGUAGAUGCGGUAGGCGGAAUGUAUGGUGUAGCGGUGAAAUGCUGAGAGAUCAUACAGAACACCGAUUGCGAAGGCAGCUUACCAAUCUAUAUCUGACGUUGAGGCACGAAAGCGUGGGUAGCAAACAGGAUUAGAUACCCUAGUAGUC
rnacentral:rRNA from 1 species